rfam:Aedes albopictus isolate Foshan contig16487, whole genome shotgun sequence.
GGCUCGGUAGCACAGUUGGUAAAGCACUGGUCUAGCGAAUAAGGGUCGUGAGUUCAAAUCUCACCUGAGCUG